rnacentral:rRNA from 1 species
ACGUAGGGUGCAAGCGUUGUCCGGAUUUAUUGGGUUUAAAGGGUGCGUAGGCGGUUUUAUAAGUCAGUGGUGAAAGACAACAGCUCAACUGUUGAGGUGCCAUUGAUACUGUAGAACUUGAGUACAGACGAGGUAGGCGGAAUUGACAGUGUAGCGGUGAAAUGCAUAGAUAUUGUCAAGAACACCGAUAGCGAAGGCAGCUUGCUAGCCUGUAACUGACGCUGAGGCACGAAAGUAUGGGGAUCAAACAGG